UAACAGGGCGGUGCAAUCGCGUCAUAUUAUGCCGAAAGGUCGUAUGGCGAGGAAAGUCCGGGCUUCAUAGGGCAGGAUAACGGAUAACAUCCGCCGAGGGUGACCUCAGGAAUAGUGCAACAGAAAUAAACCGCCGCGCAAGCGGUAAGGAUGGAAAGGCGAGGUAAGAGCUCACCAUUCCCUCGGUGACGAGGGAAGUCAUGUAAACUCUAUCCGAAGCAACACCGUGGGAACGGCGCAAGCCGGCGGCUGCCCGCCGCGAUUCCUUGGGUGGCAACGCACAAGCGUAAGCUUGUCGGUAACGGCAAGCGAAGAUAGAUGAUUGCAGCCUGCGCAAGCAGGAACAGAACCCGGCUUACAAGCCCUGUCACAAA
rnacentral:RNase_P_RNA from 1 species